rnacentral:rRNA from 1 species
UUGAACGCUGGCGGCAUGCUUUACACAUGCAAGUCGAACGGCAGCGCGGGGCAACCUGGCGGCGAGUGGCGAACGGGUGAGUAAUAUAUCGGAACGUACCCAAGAGUGGGGGAUAACGUAGCGAAAGUUACGCUAAUACCGCAUACGAUCUAAGGAUGAAAGCAGGGGACCGCAAGGCCUUGUGCUCCUGGAGCGGCCGAUAUCUGAUUAGCUAGUUGGUGAGGUAAAGGCUCACCAAGGCCACGAUCAGUAGCAGGUCUGAGAGGGCGACCAGCCACACUGGAACUGAGACACGGUCCAGACUCCUACGGGAGGCAGCAGUGGGGAAUUUUGGACAAUGGGCGCAAGCCUGAUCCAGCAAUGCCGCGUGAGUGAAGAAGGCCUUCGGGUUGUAAAGCUCUUUUGUCAGGGAAGAAACGGUGGGGGCUAAUAUCCUCCACUAAUGACGGUACCUGAAGAAUAAGCACCGGCUAACUACGUGCCAGCAGCCGCGGUAAUACGUAGGGUGCAAGCGUUAAUCGGAAUUACUGGGCGUAAAGCGUGCGCAGGCGGUUUGUAAGUCUGAUGUGAAAUCCCCGGGCUCAACCUGGGAAUUGCAUUGGAGACUGCAAGGCUAGAAUCUGGCAGAGGGGGGUAGAAUUCCACGUGUAGCAGUGAAAUGCGUAGAGAUGUGGAGGAACACCGAUGGCGAAGGCAGCCCCCUGGGACAAGAUUGACGCUCAUGCACGAAAGCGUGGGGAGCAAACAGGAUUAGAUACCCUGGUAGUCCACGCCCUAAACGAUGUCUACUAGUUGUCGGGUUUUAAUUAACUUGGUAACGCAGCUAACGCGUGAAGUAGACCGCCUGGGGAGUACGGUCGCAAGAUUAAAACUCAAAGGAAUUGACGGGGACCCGCACAAGCGGUGGAUGAUGUGGAUUAAUUCGAUGCAACGCGAAAAACCUUACCUACCCUUGACAUGUCAGGAACCCGGAGAGAUCUGGGGUGCCCGAAAGGGAACCUGAACACAGGUGCUGCAUGGCUGUCGUCAGCUCGUGUCGUGAGAUGUUGGGUUAAGUCCCGCAACGAGCGCAACCCUUGUCAUUAGUUGCUACGAAAGAGCACUCUAAUGAGACUGCCGGUGACAAACCGGAGGAAGGUGGGGAUGACGUCAAGUCCUCAUGGCCCUUAUGGGUAGGGCUUCACACGUCAUACAAUGGUACAUACAGAGGGCCGCCAACCCGCGAGGGGGAGCUAAUCCCAGAAAGUGUAUCGUAGUCCGGAUUGUAGUCUGCAACUCGACUACAUGAAGUUGGAAUCGCUAGUAAUCGCGGAUCAGCAUGUCGCGGUGAAUACGUUCCCGGGUCUUGUACACACCGCCCGUCACACCAUGGGAGCGGGUUUUACCAGAAGUAGGUAGCUUAACCGCAAGGAGGGCGCUUACCACGGUAGGAUUCGUGACUGGGGUG